UACAGAGGGGGCAAGCGUUAUUCGGAAUUACUGGGCGUAAAGUGUGCGCAGGUGGCUUCGCAAGUCGAGUGUGAAAUCCCCGGGCUUAACCUGGGAAUUGCGCUCGAAACUACGGAGCUGGAGUAUGGCAGAGGGAGGUGGAAUUCCACGUGUAGCGGUGAAAUGCGUAGAGAUGUGGAGGAACACCAAUGGCGAAGGCAGCCUCCUGGGCCAAUACUGACACUCAUGCACGAAAGCGUGGGGAGCAAACAGG
rnacentral:rRNA from 1 species